rnacentral:rRNA from 1 species
AGACCCGAAACCCGGUGAUCUAGCCAUGGGCAGGUUGAAGGUUGGGUAACACUAACUGGAGGACCGAACCGACUAAUGUUGAAAAAUUAGCGGAUGACCUGUGGCUGGGGGUGAAAGGCCAAUCAAACCGGGAGAUAGCUGGUUCUCCCCGAAAGCUAUUUAGGUAGCGCCUCGUGAAUUCAUCUCCGGGGGUAGAGCACUGUUUCGGCUAGGGGGCCAUCCCGGCUUACCAACCCGAUGCAAACUGCGAAUACCGGAGAAUGUUAUCACGGGAGACACACGGCGGGUGCUAACGUCCGUCGUGAAGAGGGAAACAACCCAGACCGCCAGCUAAGGUCCCAAAGUCAUGGUUAAGUGGGAAACGAUGUGGGAAGGCCCAGACAGCCAGGAUGUUGGCUUAGAAGCAGCCAUCAUUUAAAGAAAGCGUAAUAGCUCACUGGUCGAGUCGGCCUGCGCGGAAGAUGUAACGGGGCUAAACCAUGCACCGAAGCUGCGGCAGCGACACUCAGGUGUUGUUGGGUAGGGGAGCGUUCUGUAAGCCUGCGAAGGUGGCCUGUGAGGGUUGCUGGAGGUAUCAGAAGUGCGAAUGCUGACAUAAGUAACGAUAAAGCGGGUGAAAAGCCCGCUCGCCGGAAGACCAAGGGUUCCUGUCCAACGUUAAUCGGGGCAGGGUGAGUCGACCCCUAAGGCGAGGCCGAAAGGCGUAGUCGAUGGGAAACGGGUUAAUAUUCCCGUACUUGGUGUUACUGCGAAGGGGGGACGGAGAAGGCUAUGUUGGCCGGGCGACGGUUGUCCCGGUUUAAGCGUGUAGGUGUGUGUUCCAGGUAAAUCCGGUUCACUUUAACACUGAGGCGUGACGACGAGGCACUACGGUGCUGAAGCAACAAAUGCCCUGCUUCCAGGAAAAGCCUCUAAGCAUCAGGUAACAUCAAAUCGUACCCCAAACCGACACAGGUGGUCAGGUAGAGAAUACCAAGGCGCUUGAGAGAACUCGGGUGAAGGAACUAGGCAAAAUGGUGCCGUAACUUCGGGAGAAGGCACGCUGACACGUAGGUGAAGUGAUUUACUCACGGAGCUGAAGUCAGUCGAAGAUACCAGCUGGCUGCAACUGUUUAUUAAAAACACAGCACUGUGCAAACACGAAAGUGGACGUAUACGGUGUGACGCCUGCCCGGUGCCGGAAGGUUAAUUGAUGGGGUCAGCGCAAGCGAAGCUCCUGAUCGAAGCCCCGGUAAACGGCGGCCGUAACUAUAACGGUCCUAAGGUAGCGAAAUUCCUUGUCGGGUAAGUUCCGACCUGCACGAAUGGCGUAAUGAUGGCCAGGCUGUCUCCACCCGAGACUCAGUGAAAUUGAACUCGCUGUGAAGAUGCAGUGUACCCGCGGCAAGACGGAAAGACCCCGUGAACCUUUACUAUAGCUUGACACUGAACAUUGAGCCUUGAUGUGUAGGAUAGGUGGGAGGCUUUGAAGUGUGGACGCCAGUCUGCAUGGAGCCGACCUUGAAAUACCACCCUUUAAUGUUUGAUGUUCUAACGUGGACCCGUGAUCCGGGUUGCGGACAGUGUCUGGUGGGUAGUUUGACUGGGGCGGUCUCCUCCUAAAGAGUAACGGAGGAGCACGAAGGUUGGCUAAUCCUGGUCGGACAUCAGGAGGUUAGUGCAAUGGCAUAAGCCAGCUUGACUGCGAGCGUGACGGCGCGAGCAGGUGCGAAAGCAGGUCAUAGUGAUCCGGUGGUUCUGAAUGGAAGGGCCAUCGCUCAACGGAUAAAAGGUACUCCGGGGAUAACAGGCUGAUACCGCCCAAGAGUUCAUAUCGACGGCGGUGUUUGGCACCUCGAUGUCGGCUCAUCACAUCCUGGGGCUGAAGUAGGUCCCAAGGGUAUGGCUGUUCGCCAUUUAAAGUGGUACGCGAGCUGGGUUUAGAACGUCGUGAGACAGUUCGGUCCCUAUCUGCCGUGGGCGCUGGAGAACUGAGGGGGGCUGCUCCUAGUACGAGAGGACCGGAGUGGACGCAUCACUGGUGUUCGGGUUGUCAUGCCAAUGGCACUGCCCGGUAGCUAAAUGCGGAAGAGAUAAGUGCUGAAAGCAUCUAAGCACGAAACUUGCCCCGAGAUGAGUUCUCCCUGAGACUUAGAGUCUCCUGAAGGAACGUUGAAGACGACGACGUUGAUAGGCCGGGUGUGUAAGCGCAGCGAUGCGUUGAGCUAACCGGUACUAAUGAACCGUGAGGCUUAACCUUACAACGCCGAAG